rnacentral:rRNA from 1 species
UAGGGAAUCUUCCGCAAUGGACGAAAGUCUGACGGAGCAACGCCGCGUGAGCGAUGAAGGCCUUCGGGUCGUAAAGCUCUGUUGUCAGGGAAGAACAAGUACCGGAGUAACUGCCGGUACCUUGACGGUACCUGACCAGAAAGCCACGGCUAACUACGUGCCAGCAGCCGCGGUAAUACGUAGGUGGCAAGCGUUGUCCGGAAUUAUUGGGCGUAAAGCGCGCGCAGGCGGUCCUUUAAGUCUGAUGUGAAAGCCCACGGCUCAACCGUGGAGGGUCAUUGGAAACUGGGGGACUUGAGUGCAGAAGAGGAAAGUGGAAUUCCACGUGUAGCGGUGAAAUGCGUAGAGAUGUGGAGGAACACCAGUGGCGAAGGCGACUUUCUGGUCUGUAACUGACGCUGAGGCGCGAAAGCGUGGGGAGCAAACA